UGCCAGUGAGGACAGCUGAAAACACAACAUGUUAAUACCCGAAGUAAAACAAGCUAGAACAAAGUCAUUCGUUAACACACACAAGGGGAGGACGAAGCCAAAAGGGAUUCUGGGUAAAACACAUCCUCACCCAGUAAGAGGGAGUUUGGUCCCGCCCCAUCCCGCACUUCUACGACAUCAUAGGUUGCUUCAACAUCAAAGUCCAGGAAGUGAAGCUGGAUGUUCCUUCCCUCUGUGGUGUGGAGAGUCCACAGGCCUGCAGCAGCAGAGGAUCAUGAGUAUAAAUUACAACAUACACGUUACAGGUGAAACAUGGCGGAUGUUUCAGGUCAUAUCAGGGAGUCUUUAAAUGGGCAACUUCUAAAAUGUGGCAAAACAUCAAAGUCAGCCUCAAAAAUGACACCAGGGUAACCUCCAACUGCUGCACUGUUUGCUGUAGGUGUCUCUGACUGCAGCUGCAUCAGUACAUCAGUACCAGGCAUUAUUGUGUCAGCACUUUAACAUUCUUUCUGCUUUCCGCUGCCGUGACUGUUUUAACUCCGCUCACGUCACUGAAUCGCUGAACACACCUGAGCUGUUGCCCAGCGUGUGGUCCACACUCGGCCCACUGAAUGGAGGAAAUGUGGGACCGCUAAUUCGGACCCAGUCCCCACUGUCAUCGUCCUGCUGCUGCCUCCAGAAACACAUGCCUUGCUCAAAGGUACACGUCAGCUUCUGCUCGUCUGAACACACACACAGACAGAGGUCAGGUGGCGCUGAACCCUGACAGAUUGUUGAUGUCAUCGGAAAUAAACUCCACAGUUGAUUGGUCGGUCAGCAGCCACACGGUCCCAGGAGGAUUGGAGCCUGAGAGUUCAGCUGCACCACAUCAUAAUAAAAUAAAUAAAGCCCUCGAUCAACCCUGAAGACAACAAACACGUAAACUUAAUAAAGAAUAUAUGUGG